UAAGCGGAGGAAAAGAAACUAACAAGGAUUUCCCUAGUAGCGGCGAGCGAAACGGAAAGAGCCCAGCUUGGAAAUCGGGGUGUGUUUGCACCCCGAAUUGUAGUCUGGAGAAGGGUCCUCUGCAGCGGACCGGGUUUAAGUCCCUUGGAAUGGGACGCCAGAGAGGGUGAGAGCCCCGUCUAGCCCGGACCCUGCUGCAUCACGAGGCUCUUUCGGUGAGUCGGGCUGUUUGGGAAUGCAGCCUUAAGUGGGUGGUAAAUUCCAUCCAAGGCUAAAUACUGGUGAGAGACCGAUAGCGCACAAGUACCGCGAGGGAAAGAUGAAAAGGACUUUGAAAAGAGAGUUAAAAAGUGCUUGAAAUUGCUGGGAGGGAAGCGAAUGGAUGCCUUGUGCGCCCCUUGGUUGUGUGUGGAACGGCGAGAGCUGGUCUGCCAAGCAAUGCAAGGGGCUGUCCAGCAUGGGAGGACGCGGCGGGAUAACGGCUGGUGGGUCUCUGGCUCCCUGCCAAUGCCGCCGCUGCCUCCGAAAAUGGCAGGGUGCUCCGGUGCCCUGGCAGAUGCUGGAACUUGGGCGUUCCAUCCGACCCGUCUUGAAACACGGACCAAGGAGUCUAACAUGUAUGCGAGUCUGUGGGUGUUAAACCCGUACAGGCGCAAGGAAACUGAUUCGUGGGAUCCCCUUCCGGGGUGCACCACGGACCGACCUUGAUCUUCUGAGAAGGGUUUGAGUGUUAGCAUACCUGCUGGGACCCGAAAGAUGGUGAACUAUGCCUGAGCAGGGCGAAGCCAGAGGAAACUCUGGUGGAGGCUCGUAGCGAUACUGACGUGCAAAUCGUUCGUCAGACUUGGGUAUAGGGGCGAAAGACUAAUCGAACCAUCUAGUAGCUGGUACCCUCCGAAGUUUCCCUCAGGAUAGCUGGAGCUCUUGCUGAGUUUUAUCGGGUAAAGCGAAUGAUUAGAGGCAUCGGGGGUGAAACACCCUCGACCUAUUCUCAAACUUUAAAUAGGUAAAGCAGCCGGGGUUGCUCCGUUGAGCCCCGGCAGCGAAUGCGAGUUCCAAGUGGGCCAUUUUUGGUAAGCAGAACUGGCGAUGCGGGAUGAACCGAA
rnacentral:rRNA from 1 species